GACGAACGCUGGCGGCGUGCUUAACACAUGCAAGUCGUACGGACUUGGGGUUUUUGGCUCUGGGUGAGUGGCGAACGGGUGAGUAACACGUGAGUGACCUGCCCUUCACUUCGGGAUAACGGUGGGAAACUGCUGCUAAUACUGGAUGUUCUGCUGUCUUUGCAUGGGGAUGGUGGGAAAGGGUGCUCUGUGGGGUGCUUGGUGGGGGAUGGGCUCGCGGCUUAUCAGCUUGUUGGUGGGGUGAUGGCUUACCAAGGCGGUGACGGGUAGCCGGCCUGAGAGGGUGGUCGGUCACAUUGGGACUGAGAUACGGCCCAGACUCCUACGGGAGGCAGCAGUGGGGGAUUUUGCACAAUGGGCGGAAGCCUGAUGCAGCGACGCCGCGUGAGGGAUGGAGGCCUUCGGGUUGUGAACCUCUGUGUCCCAUGGUCAAGCCGUGCCUGUGGGUGUGGUGAGGGUAGUGGGGUAUGAGCGCCGGCUAACUACGUG
rnacentral:rRNA from 1 species